rnacentral:rRNA from 1 species
CGAUUACGGCUCAGUAACACGUAGCUAACCUACCCUUAGGACGUGGAUACCCCCGAGAAAUUGGGGUUAAUCCGCGAUAGAUGUAAUGUCCUGGAAUGGUAUUACGUCUAAAGGUAUUUCAUACAUGUUUGAAAUAUGCCUAAGGAUGGGGCUGCGGCCGAUCAGGCUGUUGGUGAGGUAAUGGCUCACCAAACCUUUGACCGGUACGGGCCAUGAGAGUGGUAGCCCGGAGAUGGACACUGAGACAAGGGUCCAGGCCCUAAGGGGCGCAGCAACCGCGAAACCUCCACAAUGCACUCACGUGCGAUGGGGCUAUCUCGAGUGCCACCUGAUGAAGGUGGCUUUUCCUUGGUCUUCAAAGCCUUGGGAAUAAGAGGGGGGCAAGACUGGUGUCAGCCGCCGCGGUAACACCAGCCCCUCGAGUGGUGGGGAUGAUUAUUUGGCCUAAAGCGUCCGUAGCCGGCCGAGCAAGUCUUCCGUUAAAUCCAGCGUCUCAAGCGUUGGACCGCGGGAGAUACUACACGGCUAGAGAGUGGGAGAGGUCAGCGGUAUUCUGGGGGUAGGGGCGAAAUCCUUUGAUCCCCGGAGGACCACCAGUGGCGAAGGCUG